rnacentral:sRNA from 1 species
UGUUAUUGAGGCUAUGCGAAUCACAUUU